AGAAUGUGGACCUAAAAAUAGAAGUUUAACUCUUC
rnacentral:tRNA from 1 species